UAUAAUAAAAGGUUAAUAUGCAAAUUGUCCCCACAGGCAGGAGUUUGACCGACCAGGAGUUAGAUGUGCAUUGGCCACCAGGGGGUGGUAUGGAAUAUAGCUGGCUUUGGCAACAUGGUGCUGGCAAAUAGUGGCAGUGGAGGUGCUGCCCGCCCCUAAGGAGCCCCGAGGAGAGUGGGACCGUGGCAGGAUGGUGGAGCAGGUGAGCAGGUGGUGCCAGGCCAAGUAUCAGCAAAUCUCAGAACUCAUGUUGCAAGACUGCUUCAGAAGUGGGAUUGAUCCACAUUAGCCCCAUCCCCUCCUGCCUGCCCAGAUUUCAACACUGAACAUCAGAGAGCUAUGUGAAAAGAAGCCUGGGAACUCUUGCAUUAUAAAUCAAAUCAUUUCCUGACUUGUCCUAGAAAAGUAGGACAACUGUGAAGUAAUAAUUCUUGAGUAUGCAUUCCAUUUUUUUUUUUUGCAGUACCAAGUCUUUGAAAAAUAAAAUGAUUUUUCUUUAUUCAAAAUAAAAAUUUAUGUUUUUUUUAAAUACAGUACUUGAAGUCUAAAUUGUUUUGACUGCUAACUUGAACUGGAAUCCUUGUGGCAUUAUGGUCUAUAUUUAGUGCUAUGAUAAACUGUUUCCAAAUAUCCUAAUAUCACAUUUGUAAUACAGAAUAUCAUGUGAUAAACACUCUGGGCUUUGGCAAUGAAGGAAAGCUUUCACCAAUUUUAAGUGCAGAAAAGAUGAAUGUUAGGAAUAUAACUUCUAAAAUGUGUAAUGGUACAUUUGUUAAAUUCACACUGUGAAUAAUAUUCAAAGAACAAGCCAAAAAAUUAAAAUUCCAUCGUUUGUAGUGAAAAUUACCCAAGUUUCAACAGAAAUUUAGCUAAAUUUUCAGUUAAGAGAUUGAGAAAAUGUUACAAU